AAAAACCAUACAUAUUGACAAGUCUAGAUAUGCAUAGCGCACACCACAUUACGUCACUCUAAACUAUUCUUUGCGGAAAUUGUUUUUGCUCGAUCGAGAUAUGCCUAAAACGGGGAAAGACAUCAGAUGUCGGUAUGUCAGGGCUGAUAUGGAACGGGCUGUGACUGAGGUUAACCUCGGAAACCUGAGUGUUCGCAAAGCGGCCGCAACAUUUAAUGUCCCCAGGUCAACUUUGCAUGACAUGAUAAGUGCCCGAGUGGAGACCACGACCACACCCGGAAAGCAGCUUGUCUUUCCUGCUUAUGCUGAGCGUAUGCUUGCCGACAAUGUUAAGGAAGCAGCGGAAAUGGAGUUCGGCAUUGAUAGGCAGCAAUUGAAAGCGAAGGCUGUACGAUUAGCAACGACCAUGUGUCUCAAAACACCGUUUAAAAACGCCGUUCCUGGUGAUGACUGGGUGAACAGUUUUAUUAAAAGAAAUUCUAUCAGUCUUAGAUCACAAACAGCACUCUCUACGGUUCGAAGUCGGAUGUUAAACCAAAUGGUGACCGAUAAAUACUUUUAAGAGCUAGAACAUACAAUUAACAAUUUGAAUUUAAAUGACAAACCCAACUGUAUCUGGAAUAUGGACGAGACGUCCGUUUCAUUAACCCAUAAGCAUAUACGCGUGUUCGCGGCAAAGGGGCUGCGAAAUGUCCCUGGGUGGGUUGGAAAUUCUAGGGAAUCUAUAACUGUUACAGCGUGCGUAAACGCCGCAGGUCAAGACGUCCCCCUUAUGGUUGUGGCCAAAGCGAAAAUAAAAAAGUCACUCAGCACAUUUAUUGUGACUGAUGGUCCAUUUGGUACAAAAAGGACACGUCCAACAAAGGGGUGGAUGGGUGUGUGUCUGGGCACGAAGUGGUUCAAAAGUGUCUUUGUCCCUUACAUAGCCAACACAGACCCCAGAUUCUUAUCUUAGAUAGCCAUAGCUCUCAUGAAACUUAGACAUCAUAGAAUGCGCGAGAGUGGACAACAUAACAUUGUUGGUACUACCUUCGCACACUACGCAAUGGUUAAAUCCCCAUGAUAAGACAGCGUUUGGUCCUUUUUCUAGGAAGGACGACGUUCAUGCCAUAAUCUCCGAACAACUUGGUAUGUAAAUAUGUGUGGCCUAGUCUUUUCAAGUAUGCGUAUGAAAGGACAUUUACAAAACAUAACAUAACAAAAGGGUUCUCGGCAUGUGGUAUUUAUCCGCCUGACAUAUCAACCAUACCCAAUAAUGACACCUUGCCCUGUGAACUCAACUCCACUACUUUCAGCAAUGCCCUCGACGAGUCUGCUUCAAACAGAGACCAAGAGCACCCAAUGCAAAAGAAUGAAGUGGCCAUCGAGUCUAACAGUCAACUUGAAGAGGGACACCUGUAUGACGUAAAUAUCUGACCUUUACGAUGAAUUUGGUGCUCAACUACUGGGAACAGCAGACGACAGCGGAACAUUAACGUUAGAGUCGGUAACCGCUGCAGAAGUGAAUAAUGCGGUUCGGAAUGCAUGUCAACGUUGAAGGCAGUGGGUUUGUACAAGAAUCAAAUUAACACACAAUAGAGUUGCCCACUUUUGCCACAAUGGAAUCACCCAUAUUUUCCAUCGGUCAGUUACAGAAGAAUGUGUGUCAAGUCACCACGCCGGAGUUGCUACAAGAUACUCUUACGAACAUCUUACGAACAUCUCCUAGCGAAGAAACUGAUCGCAUAUUUGUGCUCCCCAUGCCAAUCAAGCCAGUAAGCAAGUCUUCAAAAAUAAAGCUGACGUCACAUAGAUAUGCAUGCGCCCUUUGAAAAAAAGGUUUAUAACAUUCCAAAUCGGCCAAAAUACUCAAUCUUUGAUAUGAGUUAAAAUACCAAACACAAAAAAUAAUAUGCCAAUGUUUGCCAAUCAAGUUAUUACUAAACAAAAAACGUAAAGUACAGGCUUUAAAAUGUUUUAUAUUGCCGACAGCUUUUAACGCAUUCGUUACCAGGUUGUAAAGUUUGUACGUAAAACAUAAAUAUCGCUCCACCAUGAUAAGGGUGUUUAUAUAUCAGAAUAAUGUUGAUUUGCGUUUCUAAACCAUAUACAGGGCAAACAUCAUGCAGUCAAUCACAAAAAUAUUCCUAAUAAUUGCAGUCGAUUUAUAAGGAGCACAAAUCGAUUUGUUUGUGUAAGUUCCCGACAUAAUUCCUUUUUUGUUUAGGCUGCUAACCAGUGAUGAGAUUGUUAGAGAGAAGAUGGAAAUUAAGAAGAAGAAAGAAGAAGCAUAUAAGAAGGAAGAAGAAAACACGCCAGACUAAUGAAAAAAAAAGAAAAGAAGAUGAAAAACGCCAUGAAAGAAAAUAUCAAGCCGAUUCAGAGUGAAACAAUUGCGAACGUUUAUUAUGAUAUAAGGAACACUGUUAAGUGGACAGACUGUUGUGAAAUUUGAAACGGAAAUGAAAAUUAUUCAUAUUACAUGUAUUGUUAAACUUUACAAUACACACAUGUAUUAUAUGAUGUAAAAUGAAUAGAUCUAGAAGAUUUAAAUAAAA